rnacentral:rRNA from 1 species
UACAGAGGGGGCAAGCGUUGUUCGGAAUUACUGGGCGUAAAGGGCGCGUAGGCGGCCUUCUAAGUCGAACGUGAAAUCCCCGGGCUCAACCCGGGAACUGCGUCCGAUACUGGCAGGCUUGAAUCCGGGAGAGGGAUGUGGAAUUCCAGGUGUAGCGGUGAAAUGCGUAGAUAUCUGGAGGAACACCGGUGGCGAAGGCGGCAUCCUGGACCGGUAUUGACGCUGAGGCGCGAAAGCCAGGGGAGCAAACGGG